UUUCCCUACUGUUAGAGUAUUGAACCUAAUACCAUUUUAAUUUGAAAGGCAUAAUCAGAGUUCUGGAUGGAAGAAAAGGCAUUUUGAAACAUGACCAGUGAUACUGACCAGGGACUCCAGAAAGGGUCUAAUUGCUUCCUAUGCAACUUUUACUGUCUCUCUGGUUAGCAGAUGGUUUAUUUCUAUAGUUUUAAGUGUGUAAUAGUCAAGGUGGAAAAUAAUCAGUGUAACUUUCACAUACAACAUGGGCUCAGGAUGUUGGAAGGACUGGCCAGAGAUGUGGAUUGUCUGCUAGAUGCAUGUCCUUUUAGAGAAUCUAUAACUAGACAAAAAUGUUGUCGUCUCUCAGCUGAUGGAUGAAGGGUAGUGGAACACUGGAUAAGAUAUUAACUGAUGCAGCUUUUCAGGUUUCAGCACUGAAAUGGUGGAAGCAGCAGGGGCUGUAAAGGUGUCAAAUGUCUUGAUCAGUCACUGAAGAGGAGAAUAGAGCGUCAGUGAAAUAAGAGCAUGGAUUUCAACACAUACUUGUGUGGGUGCCAAGAACACUGUGUUCUGUUAAGUCACGGGGUGACGUCGGGCGCUGGCCACCCGCCA